AGUGAACGCUGGCGGUAGGCCUAACACAUGCAAGUCGAACGGCAGCGCAGUAAGAGCUUGCUCUUACGGGUGGCGAGUGGCGGACGGGUGAGGAAUACAUCGGAAUCUACUUUUUCGUGGGGGAUAACGUAGGGAAACUUACGCUAAUACCGCAUACGACCUACGGGUGAAAGCAGGGGAUCUUCGGACCUUGCGCGAUUGAAUGAGCCGAUGUCGGAUUAGCUAGUUGGCGGGGUAAAGGCCCACCAAGGCGACGAUCCGUAGCUGGUCUGAGAGGAUGAUCAGCCACACUGGAACUGAGACACGGUCCAGACUCCUACGGGAGGCAGCAGUGGGGAAUAUUGGACAAUGGGCGCAAGCCUGAUCCAGCCAUGCCGCGUGGGUGAAGAAGGCCUUCGGGUUGUAAAGCCCUUUUGUUGGGAAAGAAAAGCAGCAGGUUAAUACCCCGCUGUUCUGACGGUACCCAAAGAAUAAGCACCGGCUAACUUCGUG
rnacentral:rRNA from 1 species